AACCAUAGUGGAGACACUUUAGAAUCAAGUCCUUAAAUCUCUCACAACUCUCAUAAAAAUUUUUAUUGUCUUCUUGAUAAAAAUAAGUAAUCUCUCUUCUCAAAGGAU